GUGGGGAAUCUUAGACAAUGGGGGCAACCCUGAUCUAGCCAUGCCGCGUGAUCGAUGAAGGCCUUAGGGUUGUAAAGAUCUUUCGCUGGGGAAGAUAAUGACGGUACCCAGUAAAGAAGCCCCGGCUAACUCCGUGCCAGCAGCCGCGGUAAUACGGAGGGGGCUAGCGUUGUUCGGAAUUACUGGGCGUAAAGCGCGCGUAGGCGGAUUGGAAAGUUGGGGGUGAAAUCCCGGGGCUCAACCCCGGAACUGCCUCCAAAACUAUCAGUCUGGAGUUCGAGAGAGGUGAGUGGAAUUGCGAGUGUAGAGGUGAAAUUCGUAGAUAUUCGCAGGAACACCAGUGGCGAAGGCGGCUCACUGGCUCGAUACUGACGCUGAGGUGCGAAAGUGUGGGGAGCAAACAGGAUUAGAUACCCCUGUAGUCC
rnacentral:rRNA from 1 species